rnacentral:rRNA from 1 species
GACAGAGGGUGCAAACGUUGUUCGGAAUUACUGGGCAUAAAGCGCACGUAGGUGGUCCGCUAAGUCGCGUGUGAAAUCCCCCGGCUCAACCGGGGAAAUGCGCGUGAUACUGGCGGGCUUGAGAUCGGGAGGGGUGAAUGGAACUCCAGGUGGAGCGGUGAAAUGCGUAGAUACCUGGAGGAACACCGGUGGCGAAAGCGGCUUCUUGGCCUGUUCUUGACGCUGAGGCGCGAAAGCUGGGGGAGCAAACGGG